rnacentral:rRNA from 1 species
AGUUGGUGGAGUGAUUUGUCUGCUUAAUUGCGUUAACGAACGAGACCUCCGCCUGCUAAAUAGCCCGCCGUUGGGUCUCCCAACGGUCGGAUUCGCUUCUUAGAGGGACUCUCCGUUUUCAGCGGAGGGAAGCUGGAGGCAAUAACAGGU